rnacentral:lncRNA from 1 species
UCAGCACAUUACUGAGCAGGAGCUGCAAACAAAUGUUCUGCCUGCGUCUUCAGUAAAUUUGGCUUGUUCUCGGCAUGCUGCCUUCCAAGUACACACUCCCUUGUGACCAGUAGAGGACCACAGUGCACUGCUGCUUCACUGCACUGCCACAGCAGCACACGGACACAAGCAGGGGGAGCUCCUGCAUUAUUAGGGAGGAUUUUUAGGUAAUAAGUGAAGAAGAGGGAGCAGAUAUUACAAACAACUGAUCAUCAACUAAGAAUACUUCUGUUUAAAAAAAAACCAAAAUAAACCUUAG